rnacentral:rRNA from 1 species
AACGAACGCUGGCGGCAGGCCUAACACAUGCAAGUCGAGCGGGGACUUCGGUCCUAGCGGCGGACGGGUGAGUAACGCGUGGGAACGUGCCCUUUGCUUCGGAAUAGCCCCUGGAAACGGGGGAGUAAUACCGGAUGUGCUCGAGAGAGGAAAGAUUUUUCGGCAAAGGAUCGGCCCGCGUUGGAUUAGGUAGUUGGUGGGGUAAUGGCCUACCAAGCCGACGAUCCAUAGCUGGUUUGAGAGGAUGAUCAGCCACACUGGGACUGAGACACGGCCCAGACUCCUACGGGAGGCAGCAGUGGGGAAUCUUAGACAAUGGGCGCAAGCCUGAUCUAGCCAUGCCGCGUGAGCGAUGAAGGCCUUAGGGUUGUAAAGCUCUUUCGUGGGGGGAAGAUAAUGACGGUACCCCAAGAAGAAGCCCGGCUAACUCCGUGCCAGCAGCCGCGGUAAU